GUAAAGGGAUCUCUGCCAGGCCCGCUCUGAAGAGAUGCUCAGAUCUCCCAAGCUCUGUUACGUCAGGCAGAUUUGCGUGCCAUGCAAAGGUACCUAACAUGCCAUAUGUUUCUGACGCCUCUACUAAAGCAUUGUACAGUAGUUUUAACAGUCUAUCACUUGUGACUUGACGGGGAGAAAUAAGGCGCAGCUCCGCUACCCAAGAUUUCAAUGUAAGUGCCUUAGUCACACGGUGACC